AUUGAACGCUGGCGGCAGGCCUAACACAUGCAAGUCGAGCGGAUGAGUGGAGCUUGCUCCAUGAUUCAGCGGCGGACGGGUGAGUAAUGCCUAGGAAUCUGCCUGGUAGUGGGGGACAACGUUUCGAAAGGAACGCUAAUACCGCAUACGUCCUACGGGAGAAAGUGGGGGAUCUUCGGACCUCACGCUAUCAGAUGAGCCUAGGUCGGAUUAGCUAGUUGGUGAGGUAAAGGCCCACCAAGGCGACGAUCCGUAACUGGUCUGAGAGGAUGAUCAGUCACACUGGAACUGAGACACGGUCCAGACUCCGACGGGAGGCAGCAGUGGGGAAUAUUGGACAAUGGGCGAAAGCCUGAUCCAGCCAUGCCGCGUGUGUGAAGAAGGUCUUCGGAUUGUAAAGCACUUUAAGUUGGGAGGAAGGGCAGUAAGUUAAUACCUUGCUGUUUUGACGUUACCAACAGAAUAAGCACCGGCUAACUUCGUGCCAGCCGCCGCCGUAAGAC
rnacentral:rRNA from 1 species